GAUACAAGAAACACAUCCUGAAUCCAGGAGACACAAGUUCCCUUGGAACUAUUCCCCCAGAUUGAGGUCCCAUGAAAAGAAGGGCGAGGUGUUAGUUUUCCCCCUUCUGACAAAAAUUCCUCCUUCUCCAAAUGUUUCUGGAAGUCUCUCUGGCUUGGUUCUACAGUGACAGGAAAAGGUAAUGACACGGAAAUCCCAACCCACUCAGUUUACAACGCUCUUCAAAGAAAUCCCCUCUCUCUCUCUUUUGUAUACGGGCAGGAGAAAGGUGAGGAAAUGCCUGUUACAGAACAGGCUUGGCAAAUCAUGGGACUGCGGCUGGUUCUUCUUCCGGAAUGUUGGCCAACUUGCCACUUCCGUCCACCGCCACAGUCUGAGUCUGAAAGAGUUGCCUUUCAUAUCCUCUAAUACUAUUUGAAAUUUGGUAUCAUGAAUAUCCUUCACACCCCUGAUGUAAAUACCACGGAUGAGGACGGCAUGCAUGGUGGCUGACCUGCCAUCCCAGUGCUGGCCAGUGCUGGGUCUGGGAAAGGAGUUCGAGUAUUCCUGACGUCGGAGUCCACGUUCUCUACUGCUCUCCGAUAGCACCUCGUCAAAGAGGAGUCAGGCAGCUUCUCUGACUGCAAGGUCAACGGGGAAGCCAAUGAAACCAAAGAGCAGGUGUGGGAUAAUGAAAGAACAUCGCCCAUUCCGAGCCAUUCCAGUCACACAGCCUCAGAGAGGGAUCGACGACCUCGCAUUUUGCGCCGAUACCCAGAGAGGGGGUUGUGACUUGCCUGGAGCCGCACAGCAAGAACACAUCGGUUGCAACUCACCUUUGUACCUGGAGUCUUUCUGAAAGGGAGGAAAUGCCAGAUGAAUAUGGGAAAUCAAGUUGAGGCAAAGAAGCCAUGGGGUUCAAUAUAAUACAGGCCAUUAAAGUAG